UAUGAAUUUUGAAAUUUCGAA
rnacentral:piRNA from 1 species